GGGGAAGCAGUUUGCUCGCGUUUUCUGAUUUAUAUUCACAAAAGUUCUAUCAGGUUUUCACUCCUACCAUUGAAGAGGUGAAAAGACAGACUCAGAAAGGAUCCCCAGAGCCCCAGGCACGUGCUCUCUGGGCGCCUCCCUGCGUCCAGAGUCCCCGAGCCGCCUCUUCCCCUGGGAGCCGCCAGGGAGCCGCCUCUUCCCCGGGGAGCUACGGUCCUGCUGCUGAGGCUCCUUGCCGGGCUGUGUGAUGAGAAACCCGCCCUCCGGAGUCCCUGCCCCGGCACGUCACAGCCUGACCACCCUGCUCACACCGAACUGGGAUACUCAGGCCCUGAGAUUAGGGGUCCUGCUCCCCGCUCCCAGGAAGCCCUUCGAAACGACUGCUUAGAGCCGAGCCCUCAAAACUGGGUGCCCUCCACCCUGAUCACCGCACAGAGGAAAUAAGCAGACGCCGUCUUCUCCCAGUCUCUCUGGGACGCCUUUGGAGGGCCGAGCGCGACACCCGGUCUCAGCCUCCAGACACGGGAGAACAUGUUUCUACUGCUUGAAGCCCCCAGCCCGUGGGAAAUUGUUUCAGCAGCCCCGGGAAAUGAAUACACUAGGUAAAGUGUGAAGAAAAGUAGAUUUAGAAACCUUGUCACCUGAAUUGAUGUUUAUGACCUAUUCUAAAUGAAAGUGCACUGACGCCCAAACUCGUUUUUAAGACAGUCCCUCAGCCUCUUCUGACCAAAGGGCCCGCCGGCCCCCAGGCUCCCAGAGGAAACCGCUGGGCGCUUGUGAACACCGGCAUGGAUGGUGUGAAGGAGGGAGCACAGCUGCAGCCCGGCCUGGUGACCACGAAGGACAGCAGUGAUUUGUCUCCGAGCUCACACGUUGAACCUGGUAGAAACACCUCCUCCAUGCUGGUGGGCCCCCGGCCGCAAGUUUGUGGUUUCAAUUGUGGGUGCUCGAGCCCUAGAGAGCCUGCCUCACCAGGGGUCAGGGCUUGGCCGUCUGGUUGCAGAAAAACUCUCCAGGCCGUUCUGAUGCCCCCAGAGGUCAGGACACGAUGCGAAGUCUCAAGCCCUGCAGAGCUGAGGGACCCCCGAUGCCGGCUGGCGCGGGCCGGCCGCCAGAACCAGAGCUUCACCCACCUUCAGCUGCAGCUGACGUUUGCAGGACAUCGUGAAGUGGAGGGAAGCUUUCUAAGUGAUGGAGAGCAAGGAAACAACCCAAACAACGUGUUAGGAGAAAGGCUUGGUUCCCUUCUUCCCCUCUCCGUAGGAGAUAUUUCAAAAUGCUAGUCACCAUCACGGACUGAAUUAGCAAAAGCGUUCUGUUUUCUCUUUUUUUGUUAUGCUUUUGUCAGCUUUUGAAUAAUUAUAAUUUGCUCUGAUUUCUUCUCUGUUCCAAAUAAUUGUUCUCUUUCCUUCCACGCCCAUAUUCUGCAUUCUUUUUCUGAAGAAGAGACCCCUGAUUGUGUCAGUUCCAGACCCUCCAGUCCUGGAACUGCCCCUCCUUGUGGAAAGCACAGGACCAGGAGGGGUGAGGGGUGCAGGGGGGCCCCCGUCAGGAAAUCACGUGGCCGCCCCGACCCCACAAGAGUCCUGAGAGCAGAAGGGAAAAGAAAGGUUUUUAGCAGUGGCCGUCAGUGUGGAAUCUUGGGGAGCGGCAGCGAUGUCAA